AGGACGAACGCUGGCGGCGUGCCUAACACAUGCAAGUCGAACGAGGUCCAACCAAUGGCAACAUUGGGGAAUACCUAGUGGCGAACGGGUGAGUAACACGUGAGGAACCUGCCCCGAAGACCGGGAUAACGCUCCGAAAGGAACGCUAAUACCGGAUACCUUCACCGGACCGCAUGAUCUAGUGAAGAAAUGGAUUCCGCUUCGGGAGGGUCUCGCGGCCUAUCAGCUUGUUGGUGGGGUAAUGGCCCACCAAGGCCUCGACGGGUAGCUGGUCUGAGAGGACGAUCAGCCACACUGGGACUGAGACACGGCCCAGACUCCUACGGGAGGCAGCAGUGGGGAAUCUUGCGCAAUGGGCGAAAGCCUGACGCAGCAACGCCGCGUGGGGAUGAAGGCUCGUCGGGUCGUAAACCCCUUUCGACGCAGGACGAAACGUGACGGUACCUGCAGAAGAACGCCCGACCAACUACGUGCCAGCAGCCGAC
rnacentral:rRNA from 1 species